UUAACUUAAAUUUGUAUGCAGUCGGAACGUUUGCCUACGUUUGCCGCUAGGGGCGCUGUUCCAACUGCAUAGAAAUUUGAGUUA
rfam:Bombyx mori DNA, contig: Bm_scaf12_contig9816, strain: p50T/Dazao, build 2, whole genome shotgun sequence.